GCCUCCUUUCUUCCUCCUCGCGCUGACCGCAGCUGAGAUCCAGAACCCAUCGUGCAUGGUGAGCACCGGAUUCCGGCCAUGCCUGGCGCUUGCCAUUGGCCCCUCCUUGCUGCAACCUUGAUUUCUCCAACGAUGGGCGGUGCCAGAGCUCUAGUUCUCCUCACCCAGAUGGCGUAGUCAAGAUCCAUCUCGUCCAAACGAGCGUGUCUGGAUCUACAUCAUAGCUCCGGACGAUUCCAGAUCCUUGGUGAUUCACACAGCACAGCUAAAGCGGAAGGGAGACGGCAACCAGUAAUUCCAUACGUGGCGGGAGGCAAUAGAAAUCUACCUCUGUAAAAUUCAUUUGAAAUGACUGGCAUGAUCUUUCUACACAUCGAAGCAUAAUCACGGCAGAUCGAAGCACAAUUCUGCAGGUGGAAAGCAAGUAAUAUACUUUUUUUUGCAAGAUCUGAAAGCAAAUCCCAAUUGCUUUCGAGACCUGUUCAACAAUGAUUCUUUUGUGUUUAGAAUUAAUCUCCAAUUUUAAUCCACCAUAGUUCUGAACUUUUGUUUCACGUGGAUAGAUGGAAAUCGCAAGACAUUAGUAAUUUUAAAUUUGCUUAAAAGAAAUUUACAUUAAUAGUGUGUCAGUUACUGAUAUUUUUGGUGGCCAAGGUAUCUGUAUAGCAGUCUGAUCUUUUGUUUCUAAUAACGUGCAGAUAACCUUGCAUAUCUUCCGUUGGAGAAGCUGCAAGCUAGAAGGAUGCAGAGACAUAGGCAUUCAUCGAUGUUUAUUCGCUUUCUUUUGUUCCUGGAACGAGUGUAGUCAAAUUUUGUUCAUCUGUGUAUAUGGAGAUAUCUAGGAGUAAUUAUUUAUCUAUUGUAUAAAUAUUACUUGUCAAUACAUUUAAAAUUACUCCCUUAGGAAAUAAAAAAGGAGUAAUUACUCCUCAUU